AGUGAACGCUGGCGGUAGGCCUAACACAUGCAAGUCGAACGGCAGCACAGUAAGAGCUUGCUCUUACGGGUGGCGAGUGGCGGACGGGUGAGGAAUACAUCGGAAUCUACUUUUUCGUGGGGGAUAACGUAGGGAAACUUACGCUAAUACCGCAUACGACCUACGGGUGAAAGCAGGGGAUCUUCGGACCUUGCGCGAUUGAAUGAGCCGAUGUCGGAUUAGCUAGUUGGCGGGGUAAAGGCCCACCAAGGCGACGAUCCGUAGCUGGUCUGAGAGGAUGAUCAGCCACACUGGAACUGAGACACGGUCCAGACUCCUACGGGAGGCAGCAGUGGGGAAUAUUGGGCAAUGGGCGCAAGCCUGAUCCAGCCAUACCGCGUGGGUGAAGAAGGCCUUCGGGUUGUAAAGCCCUUUUGUUGGGAAAGAAAAGCAGCAGGUUAAUACCCCGCUGUUCUGACGGUACCCAAAGAGUAAGCACCGGCUAACUUCGUG
rnacentral:rRNA from 1 species